UACAUUUAUUAUCUGCUAGAUUUACUUAGGUCCAUUUUUCAGAUGUAAAAAUAUCUAAUAAACGCAAUAUUGAUUAAAUAAAAAUAAAAAAAGUAAAGUUGGUAUGGGAUUCGAACCACGAUUACCCACGUCCGAAGACCAAAGACCAUUUCCCGUCACCACCCGCUCCAACUGUCAACACAUAUUACUCGAUAAAGUGGGAUAUUCACGUCGUCGAUAUUCCCCUUAAAUUAAAAAGAGACUACCGACCAAAUAGGCUCAUUUAUCUCUGUCGCAACCGUUACCCAUUUUAAGAUCGCAGGGCGCAAUCUAGAGUAUUAUAUAUCUAUGUAUAUAUCUAUGGGCAUAUUUAUUAUGUCAGGUUAUGUUAACCUAACCUAAUUUAUUUGGUUAGGAACUUUCCUUCCAGCUCGAGUACAGUUUUGAUGUGAUAAUUCAUUGCAAGACAGUUUCAUUUAGAUUUUUUUUUACUUAUUUUUGGUGUUGGAGCUUAGUGUGGUUUCCUGUUAUCUUAUUGAGAAGCUGCAAUAAAAAGUGAAAAAUGUAGUGAUAAGAAGGUGGCGGAGCAAGAAAUUGGACGAUGGUUGAGGAGAGCCGGGGAUCGCUUAAAAACUUUCAAGGAAAAGGAAUCAGAAUAAAAAUUGAAUUUAUUUAUUUUUUAAAUAAUAAAGAUAUAUUCACCUA
rnacentral:misc_RNA from 1 species